GACAGAGGGGGCAAGCGUCGCUCGGAAUCACUGGGCGUAAAGGGCGCGUAGGCGGGAUGGCAAGUCGGUCGUGAAAUCCUUCGGCUCAACCGAAGAACGUCGGCCGAUACUGCCGUUCUUGAGGGAUGCAGAGGAGAUUGGAAUUCCCGGUGUAGCGGUGAAAUGUGUAGAGAUCGGGAGGAACACCGGUGGCGAAGGCGGGUCUCUGGGCAUCUCCUGACGCUGAGGCGCGAAAGCGUGGGGAGCAAACGGG
rnacentral:rRNA from 1 species